rnacentral:rRNA from 1 species
CGUAAUAGCUCACUGGUCGAGUCGGCCUGCGCGGAAGAUGUAACGGGGCUAAACCAUGCACCGAAGCUGCGGCAGCGACACUUAUGUGUUGUUGGGUAGGGGAGCGUUCUGUAAGCCGUUGAAGGUGUGCUGUGAGGCAUGCUGGAGGUAUCAGAAGUGCGAAUGCUGACAUAAGUAACGAUAAAGCGGGUGAAAAGCCCGCUCGCCGGAAGAC